UUAUCCAAAGAGAUGACAUUGAAACUUCCUCCAAUAUCCAAAAUCUGGAAAUUGGUUUGAUUCUGCAUCAAAUAUAAAAUUACCGCCCAAGUUUAGCAUGCUUACUGAGCUUUCUUUUCCUCUGCAAUUCCUCUAUUUUCUUUCCUACCAAACAAACCACAGCAGCAGCUUUUGUACUUGUCAAAAUGGUUUCUUCUUCAGCUUUAGCCUUCUCCUCUAUUAGUUAUGAUGUUUUCCUUAGUUUUAGAGGUAUUGAUACUCGUCCAAAUUUUACUAGUCAUCUUCAUGCUGCUUUGUGCCGUAAACAUAUUACAACAUUCAUAGACGAUAAUCUUGAGAGAGGAGUAAGCAUCUCGCCGACGCUUUUGAAAGCUAUUGAAGAAUCCAAGAUUUCAGUUGUAAUUUUCUCAGAAAAUUAUGCGUCCUCUAGGUGGUGCCUAGAUGAACUGGUGAAGAUAAUUAACUGCAAGAAAACAAUGGGGCGAACAGUUUUACCCAUUUUCUACCAUGUAGAUCCUUCUGAUGUUAGAAAACAGACUGGAAAAUUUGGAGAAGCCUUUGAGAAAGUAAAAGAAAAAGUUGACCACAGCUUAGACAUUGUGGGAAAUUGGAGUACUGCUUUGAUCGAUGCAGCCAAUCUAUCUGGAUGGGAUUCUUGCAACUACAGGUCUGAAUCGAAAUUAAUUGACAAAGUUGUCAACCAAAUCACGAAGAAACUGUAUCCCGUGUCCUUUAGUGCUUGUGAUGAUUUAGUUGGGAUUGAUGCUCACAUCAACUUAAUUGAGUCAUUAUUAUGUAUUGAGAAGGCAGAUGUUCGUUUUAUCGGAAUUUGGGGAAUGCCUGGCAUAGGAAAGACUACCAUUGCUGAAGCUCUUUUUAGUCGAAUAUCUGAUCAAUUUGAUGCUUGCUACUUUCAAAGCAGCAUUAGGGAAAAUGCAGAAAAGCAUGAGUUAUUGCAUUUACGUAAAAAUAUUUUUUCCAAACUUGUAGGGGAUGAAGAUUUGAGCAUACAAAUGCUCCAUGUACUUCCCACUAUUGUUCUGGAUACACUUAGAAGAAAAAAAGUUUUCAUUAUUCUAGAUGAUGUCAGUGAUUCAGAGCAUUUAGAGGCUUUAGCUGGAGAUCAUGGUUGGUUUGGUUCAGGAAGUAGAGUUCUAGUCACAAGCAGAGACAAAAAAGUACUUCUUGGUGGAGUUGAUCAAAUAUAUAAGGUUGAGGGAUUAAAUUAUUGGGAUGCUCUUCAGUUGUUGAGUGUGAAAGCCUUUAAACAAGAGCAUCCUCCAAAGGAGCUUAUACAGUUGGCAAAAAUGGUGGUAAACUAUGCUAAAGGUGUUCCAUUAGCCCUUAAAGUUUUGGGUUCACAUCUAUACAAAAGAUCUCCAGAGGAAUGGGAAAGUGUAGUGAAAAACCUAAAAAAAUUCCCUCACUCCAAAAUUCAGAAAAUAUUACAAAUAAGUUAUGAAACUCUAGAACAGACAGAAAAGGCUAUAUUUCUUGAUGUUGCUUGCUUUUUCAAAGGCUAUGAUAAAGAUUGGGUAGAAGAUCUACUAGAUGGAUGUGAUCUUUCUCCAAGUUUGGGAAUAAUUCGUUUAGUGGAAAAGUGCCUCAUAAUUAUUGUGAAUAAUAAGUUAGAAAUGCAUGAUUUGAUACAAGAAAUGGGUCAACAUAUUGCUCGGCAUACAGGUAGCAGAUUAUGGAAUUUCACAGAAAUUUGUGAUAUCUUGACAACUAAAAAGGUGAACAAGGCAGUCGAAGGGAUAUUCUUGGAUAUGUCUAAACUUGGAAAGACACGAUUGAAUCCUGCAAACUUCUCACGGAUGCCUAACUUAAGAUUACUCAAAUGUUUUAGGUCUUCAAAUAAAGUGUCUAGCUUCAUGCUUAAAAAGAAUCAUCUGCAGCACCUUCCUAACAAGUUGAGUUUACUACAUUGGGAGGAAUAUCCUUGCAGGUCUAUGCCUCCAUAUUUUUUUAUGGAGAAUCUUGUUUUACUCAAUUUGGAAGAUAGUAAGGUUGAAAGACUUUGGAAUGGAGAUAAGUGUCCUAAAAAAUUAAAGUCUCUCUGUCUUUCUGGAUGCAAGAAACUAACCAAACUCCCAAAUCUCUCUUCGGCUACAAACUUAGAGCAGAUGGAUCUUAAGGGUUGUAUGAGUUUGCUCGAGAUUCCCUCUUCUAUUCAGUUCCUCUACAAACUUGCUUGUCUCAAUCUUUGUGGGUGCAAGAAGCUAAGGAGUCUUCCGAGUCUCCUUCAGUUGAAAAAUCUGAAGAGUCUUGAUCUGUCCUACUGCAUAAAUUUGAAGAUAAUUUCAGAAAUUCCAAGUUGUAUUGAAGAGUUGACGCUAAUAGAAUGUGGAAUGGAAGAAUGGUCUGCAUCUAUUCAAUCUCUGGACAACCUUAAAAACCUGCCUCUCGGUAUGUGCAAAAACCUUAGAACGCUUCCAAGUAGUUUUCAUUUGAACUGUAAAAUUAGGGAACUUGAUUGCUUCAGAUGCUCAAAUCUAAACAAGUUCCCUAAUGUUACUGGAAAUCUGAAAAAAAUAGUGUUAGAAGAGACUGCAAUUGAAGACUUACCCUCAACUGUUGGAGGACUCUCUUCACUUAUUGAGUUACAACUGGGGAAUUGCAAUAGGCUACAAAGUCUCCCAGACAGCAUUUGUGAGUUGAAAUGCCUUGAAAGGCUUCUUCUCUGGGGCUGCUCAAAACUUGGCAGAUUGCCUCCUUUAUAUGGUUUGUGGUCUUUGACAGAUUUAUACCUAGAUGAUAGUGCAGUUUCAGAAAUCCCAGGUGAUAUUGUUUCUUUAUCAUCUCUAAGAUUAUUGAGUUUAAACAACUGCACAAGACUCCGAUUUUUACCAGAGCUUCCAGAGAGAGCAAGAGUGCUCCAAGCAUUUAAUUGCACAUCGCUAAAAACUGCCAAAUUGCCUUUGUCCUUCGCACUCGUACAAAAUCCCAAUGAAUGAAAGUGGGGAAAUAGAUAUCUAUUCAAUUAUUGCAACUGUGUAAAUUUGGAGCAUACUACAGUUGGCAACAUUUUGGCAAAUGCGCGACUAAGAAUUGAAGAACUAGCUACUUCUAGGAAUAUCUCUGGUUUUCGAGAACUUAGUGGUGGUCUUCUUGUUGGUUUACCUGGACGUGAAAUUCCAGAAUGGUUCAGCUUUGAAAAUCCAGGAUCUUCACUGGCUAUUGUGCUUCCUCCCUGCUGCGUUAAUGCUCUCUACAUAAGUUUCGC